CUACGGGUCGCAGCAGUGAGGAAUAUUGCACAAUGGGGGGAACCCUGAUGCAGCAACGCCGCGUGGAGGAUGACGCAUUUCGGUGUGUAAACUCCUUUUAUAUGUCAAGAAAAUGACGGUAGCAUAUGAAUAAGCACCGGCUAACUCCGUGCCAGCAGCCGCGGUAAUACGGAGGGUGCAAGCGUUACUCGGAAUCACUGGGCGUAAAGGACGCGUAGGCGGGCUUGUAAGUCAGGUGUGAAAUCCUACAGCUUAACUGUAGAACUGCACUUGAAACUACGAGCCUAGAGUAUGGGAGGGGCAGAUGGAAUUAGUGGUGUAGGGGGAAAAGCCGUAGAUAUCACUAGGAAUACCUAAAGCGAAGGCGAUCUGCUGGAACAUAACUGACGCUAAGGCGUGAAAGCGUGGGGAGCAAACAGGAUUAGAUACCCGUGUAGUC
rnacentral:rRNA from 1 species